GGUUCAGUGGUGUAGUUGGUUAUCACGUCUGUCUCACACAUCCGCUCUAUGAAGCAGAUCAAGAUCACAGGAGGUCUCCGGUUCGAGCCCGGACUGAACCA